CACUGGUACUCAGUCGAUUGAUUUUCUCUCCCGGUGUUCAUAGGCAAGGCUUGCAUUAACCUCAGAAGACUCUAACCUUGGAAUAUUUACUGAGAAAACGACGUUAAACUGAUACACACUUCAAUGUAGCAUAAACCCACGAGGUUGAAUUGAGUAGAAUAACUCUGGGUCAAAUGGUUUUCCUUUAUUGUGACAGGACACAUUUCCUUUUGACAACAUUUGGUGGCCACCCACCUCAACACGUUUGACGCAGACAGCAGCCCAUUUGUCGCGUGGUGUGAGGACAGUUGGUCUGAGGACUUCGUAAAAUAUUCCUACAACUUCACAUGGGAGAAAAAGCCUGAAAUAAUUGAUAAAGGUUUCCUGUUUGGUCAAUGGGAUGUUAGAGGUCUGGAGGCGUGCCAGAACUGAAGGAGCAUGGUGAAGCACCAACCCCUGCAGGUUUACGAGAGGCAGCUGUGUUUGUCAUGUCUCACAGGGAUCUAUGGGUGCCGGUGGAAACGGUACCAACGGUCACAUGAUGACACCACCAAGUGGGAGUUCCUGUGGUCACUCAUCCUCUUCUUCACCUUCUCUCUGCUCCUGGUCUGGUUCUACUUCUGGUGGGAGGCACACAACGACUACAAUGAGUUCAACUGGUUUUUAUAUAACCGCUCUGGGGAGUGGAGCGACGGGACCGUUCCAAUCCUGGCCACUACCGCUGCCGGCUUCACUUAUAUUGCAUUUUUAAUGAUUUUAGCACUUUGCCACAUAGCAAUGGGACAACAGCUGAACUUGCACUGGCUGCACAAGAUUGGAGUGAGUGCUGCCCUGCUGACCACUGCCAUCGGGUUCAUAUCUGUCAAUCAAACAUGGGGGGAGGAGUGGGCAGUCAUCCCUGUAUCACUCCAGGCCACGGGUCCCUUCCUACACCUAGGAGCUCUGGUGGCUGUCACCGCUCUGGCCUGGCUGGUGGCUGGGCAGAUCGCCCGCACAGAGAAAAUAAGGUUCCAGGUGGUGGUUCUCCUGCUCUACCUGAGUGUUCUACUGGGCCUCUACAUGGCCCCCCUUUCCAUCACCUCCCCCUGCAUCAUGGACCACGCAAACCUCACUCCACGCCCUGAUGUCAUUGGCCACCUGGGCGCCCCCAUGCUGGCUCCAGAGAACACUAUCCUGUCUUUCCAGAGGGCUCUGCAGAUGAACGUCAGUGGGCUGGAGGCUGACGUGGCCAUCAGCUUUGACGGGGUGCCAUUUCUGAUGCGAGACCGCACCUUGAGGAGGACUACAGACGUGGGGAAGGUGUUUCCAGCCAGACAGCUGGACGAUGCCUCCUCCUUCAACUGGACAGACUUACACAGCCUCAACGCCGGCCAGUGGUUCCUCAAGGACGACCCCUUCUGGACGGUCCAGUCCAUGGCUCAGAGGGAGGUGAUGCUGGUGGGGAACCAGGGCGUGUGUAGUCUGGAGCAGCUGCUGAGGCUAGCCUCCCUCCAUAACCAGACAGUGGUUUUCAGCCUGCGACGACCCCCGCACAGACACCCCUGUUACCACAGUUGGAUCAACGAUACCCUGGAAGUUAUACGCCUGUCUGGGAUUCCACAGCACCUGGUGAUGUGGACCCCAGACUGGGACAGGGGGCAGGUAAGACAGGUGGCUCCAGGGCUUCAGCAGACAUCAGUAGAGAAGCUGCCGCCUCAAGUCCUUCACCAGCAGGGAAUCAGCAGCCUGCUGCUACGUUACAGCCAGGCCAGCCCCUAUGACAUCCGAGAGUUCUCCAGGAGCAACGUGAGUGUGACUCUGUACACGGUCAACGAGCCCUGGCUGUUCUCUGUGCUCUGGUGCAGCGGGGUUUCCUCUGUCUCCUCUGAAGCCCCCAACAUCCUCAGAAAGGUGCCUUACCCCAUCUGGCUCAUGAGUCCAGAUGAAUACUGUCUGAUCUGGGUCGCCGCUGAUCUCAUCUCCUUCACUGUAGUUAUAGGAAUUUUUGUAUUCCAAAACUAUCACAUUAUCAGAUGGAGGUUGAGUGGCAUGCACAGCUACAACCCUGAACAGAUCAUGCUGAGUGCCGCAGUCCGGAGGUCCAGCAGAGACGUCAACAUUAUGAAGGAGAAACUUAUCUUCUCCGGUCAACCGCAGUAGCAGUCUCAUCCUUUGUGUGUGUGUGUGACCUGCACUCCUCUCCACCUCCACUCUUCAUCCUGCCAUCUGUCCAUCCUCCGACUGCUGUGACCAUUCUUCCGACCAUUCCAUCCAUCCCUCCCUUCCCACCUCCCUCUGCCUGCCCCGCCCUUCCCCCCGCUCCUCCCCAAUCGCCCACAGAGUCCUGCAUCAUGUAUAAGGGCUCCUAGACAGCCCACUGUGACCCACCAGCCUCUCCUGGUGGGUGGUGAAAGAGGUGAGCAAUGGUGUGGGCAGUGCUGAGGACCUGUACAUGGAGAAUGGCUUUGACUACUACAACAACGAAGGCAUCUCCCAUUGACUCUCACUCUCCUAAUGUGAAUCUACUGAAAGAUACCUGACUCUACUAGCAUGUGGAAACUGAGUAAAUUAAGACUUCCAAGUGACUGUCUUGUCUGUCCUGAUUACUCUUGUUUUACUCAGUGUAUCCAGAUAGUUAUUGGUUUGUUCCUCCUACUUACUGACUGAUUGAUUGACAGGCUGCUGUAUUGCUGAAGAAUCGCAGGCAAGCACCACCCAUUGCUUUGUACAUUCUGUAAAUAGGUUUGUUUUUGCUUGUUAAAUACAAAUGUGGGACUAAAAUCACUUUUUAUUGAUGAACCAAUUGAUUUGUCAGAUUUGUGGCCUCUUCUCACCUCUAGGUCCCUUUAUUAUUAUUUUUUACAAUUUGUUUGAAAAUAUAUUGGCCCAUUUUAAAUAUCAUUUUUCACUCAAACCUCCUGUGCCCACCCCUGCUCUAGAUGCUUUGGAGGCCCCCCCAGUUACCAAUGCUUGUUUAUUAUUAAUAACCUUUUUUUUUUUUACUGUUAUUUACUUGCAGUCACUUUAUAGCACAGCCAAUUCUUAGUUAUUUAGAGGAUUUUACUACUUGUGCAGCAUUGCUCCUAUUUCUUGCCACGUUUGGGUGCUAUUCUAAUUUUUAGGAACAAAAACAACACGAACAAGCUGUUUAGAGGGUCCUGCCUUCUCCGACUAAGUGAAAUAUUUACAUGAUGUAAGAUAAUGAUUUGAACAGCAUUUCCUUCAUCCAUGCUUGUGACAUACAAUAUCGAGUGACUUGUGGAGCUGUGCUGUCUCAGGCAGGGCUUGUGUUCAGGCAGAACUGCUGGGUAUGUUUUCGGUUCAUUGUGAAUGUUUUGAUUUUUAAAGGAUGUGAACAGUGUAUUAUGGCAGUAGAGAUUUCACCACCUACCCCAAGUAUGCAGUUCUACAUGGAGUGUGUACAUGUUACAAAAGUUUUAUAUGCUAUGGCUGUCUGAGGAUUAUAUUGGAAAGGUGAUGCAUAAUAAUAGCAAUAGUGUUGAGAAGUUUAUGAAAGUCAAGUCAUUUAAAUAUUUUGCAGACCAACUUCUCAAUGGCAUUUGAACAGCAAACUGCAUCAUAUAGAGUGACAUUAAAGGGUAUCUUUUGUGUCGUGAUGAAGUGGGGUGUGUUAUAUUAACUGUGAAAAUAAAGCUCUAGGCUGUUGAAGGGACAACGCUGAGUAUCAGAAUAGUUCACACAGGGUCAAGGAAUGGAUUGACUUGUGUUCAUUUACUCCUUUGGUAUUUGUGUGCCUCAGAAGUCAACAUUAAAAUGCUUCUGAUACCAAAGUGA